GAUGAACGCUAGCGGCAGGCCUAAUACAUGCAAGUCGAGGGGUAGUGGUUGCUUGCAACCAUGAGACCGGCGCACGGGUGCGUAACGCGUAUGCAACCUACCUUCAUCUGGGGGAUAGCCCGGAGAAAUCCGGAUUAACACCGCAUAAAAUCACAGUACGGCAUCGUACAAUGAUCAAGUAUUUAUAGGAUGGAGAUGGG
rnacentral:rRNA from 1 species